GAGCUGAUCACAGGGGUCAUUUUUCCCCUAGGCUGAGUCAAGCCGUGGCCAGGCUUAGCUCUAGCACGUGGCUAACUUUGAACUAGGUGCAUGGAGGCAGUCUCAUCUCCACGCCUCACACCUCCACCCAGCCAUGGACUUCUGAGAAGGGCUGAGACUUUGCUUGCAAGAGUACCGUGGCCUAGAAAUGUCAUCUGGGGGGGGUCCCUCUUCCAGAAACACUAAUGCAGAGCAGGCCUGGUGGGGCUGGAAAGAAGAAACCUGGUUUUGAAUUUGCUGGGUGACUUCUGACAAGUUGCAGUGCCCCUCUGGACCCGUUUCCCUAAAUGAUGAAGGAGGGGAUUGAACCAUUUGGCCUCGAAGUUAUCUCCCGAGCCUCCCUUCCCUUGUGAUUCUAUGAUUUCUCUCUACUUUGCUGGACAAGGGAGAUGAGGUCGCUGGAGGGACAGGAAUCUGAGGUCUCCUGAGGCCCAAGGAAGCUGAUAGCACGGUGGAGCUGAAGAGGCCCCAUCAGGAUUCAGAAGGGCUUUGAUUCGAAAGUCUCCCUUCCUUCUAGAAGGUGCUGGGUGAGCCACUGGACCUCGGAGAGCCUGUCUCCUGUGAAAAUUAGACGGGUCAACGAAUAGACCCAAUGCAGUACCUGGUGCACAGGAGGGAGCCGGUUGGAAGUUAUCGAAUAACGGAAUGAGUUAAUGAAUAGACACAUGCAUAACUCUCAUAAGCGGCAGGGGAGGGGGCACCCGCCGCCUGACCUGGGCCUCAGCCUCCAAGCGCAGGGUGCUCCGACCAUUCCCACCACCUCCAGCUGCCCACAGGCUGGCCUCCUUAGCAGGCGGGAGGGCGUGGACUCCCAGGGAGGUACCAGGCUCUGCUUCCUGAGGCCCCCGGCAGAUUGACCGCUCAGGGCACCUGAGACCUAGAGGGGCAUCAGCACUGUCACUGGAGCACCCCGGGGACCUGCAGGAGGUGCGGGGAUGGAAGGGCUCGGGCCGGGGAACCAGCCGGAGAGCCUGGGCAGAGGGAGACAGAAAAGCAGUGGCCGGCUUCCCCUCUCCCAGAGUCCUUUUCUCCAAAUACAGCUCUCUCCUUCUCUACCCCAGGAUUAGCACACAUCUCUCAUUCUCCUAUCGCAACAAGAUUUUAUUUCUAAUUAUGCUGUAAUAAAACUGGAGCACUCCCAG